GACGAACGCUGGCGGCGUGCUUAACACAUGCAAGUCGAACGGACAGGCCCUGCUUUUGUGGGGUGCUCGAGUGGCGAACGGGUGAGUAACACGUGAGUAACCUGCCCUUGACUUUGGGAUAACUUCAGGAAACUGGGGCUAAUACCGGAUAGGAGCUCCUGCUGCAUGGUGGGGGUUGGAAAGUUUCGGCGGUUGGGGAUGGACUCGCGGCUUAUCCGCUUGUUGGUGGGGUAGUGGCUUACAAAGGCUUUGACGGGUAGCCGGCCUGAGAGGGUGACCGGCCACAUUGGGACUGAGGUACGGCCCAGACGCCUACGGGAGGCAGCGGUGGGGAAUAUUGCACAAUGGGCGGAAGCCUGAUGCAGCAACGCCGCGUGCGGGAUGACGGGCUUCGGGUUGUAAACCGCUUUCGCCGGUGACGAAGCGUGAGUGACGGUAAUGGGUAAAGAAGCACCGGCUAACUACGUG
rnacentral:rRNA from 1 species